CAGCCGCCGCGGGAAUACGUAGGUGGCAAGCGUUGUCCGGAAUUAUUGGGCGUAAAGGGCUCGCAGGCGGUUUCUUAAGUCUGAUGUGAAAGCCCCCGGCUCAACCGGGGAGGGUCAUUGGAAACUGGGAAACUUGAGUGCAGAAGAGGAGAGUGGAAUUCCACGUGUAGCGGUGAAAUGCGUAGAGAUGUGGAGGAACACCAGUGGCGGAGGCGACUCUCUGGUCUGUAACUGACGCUGAGGAGCGAAAGCGUGGGGAGCGAACAGGAUUAGAGACCCCGGUAGUCCCUGUCUCUUAUAC
rnacentral:rRNA from 1 species